rnacentral:rRNA from 1 species
UACGUAGGGGCCCAGCGUUGUCCGGAUUCAUUGGGCGUAAAGCGCGCGCAGGCGGCCCGGUGUGCCGCCCGUGAAAUCCCCCGGCUCAACCGGGGGGGUCGGGCGGGACUGCCGGGCUGGAGGCGGGUAGGGGAGAGCGGAAUUCCCGGUGUAGUGGUGGAAUGCGUAGAGAUCGGGAGGAACACCGGUGGCGAAGGCGCCACUCUGGGCCGAAACUGACGCUGAGGAGCGAAAGCGUGGGUAGCAAACAGG